rnacentral:rRNA from 1 species
CCUACGGGGCGCAGCAGUGGGGAAUAUUGGACAAUGGGGGGAACCCUGAUCCAGCCAUGCCGCGUGUGUGAAGAAGGCCCUCGGGUUGUAAAGCACUUUCAGUGAGGAAGAACGCCUGGUGGUUAAUACCCAUCAGGAAAGACAUCACUCACAGAAGAAGCACCGGCUAACUCCGUGCCAGCAGCCGCGGUAAUACGGAGGGUGCGAGCGUUAAUCGGAAUUACUGGGCGUAAAGCGCGCGUAGGUGGCUUGAUAAGCCGGUUGUGAAAGCCCCGGGCUCAACCUGGGAACGGCAUCCGGAACUGUCAAGCUAGAGUGCAGGAGAGGAAGGUAGAAUUCCCGGUGUAGCGGUGAAAUGCGUAGAGAUCGGGAGGAAUACCAGUGGCGAAGGCGGCCUUCUGGACUGACACUGACACUGAGGUGCGAAAGCGUGGGUAGCAAACAGGAUUAGAUACCCCGGUAGUC